UACGGAGGGUGCAAGCGUUAUCCGGAUUCACUGGGUUUAAAGGGUGCGUAGGCGGGCAGGUAAGUCAGUGGUGAAAUCUUCGAGCUUAACUCGGAAACUGCCAUUGAUACUAUCUAUCUUGAAUAUUGUGGAGGUAAGCGGAAUAUGUCAUGUAGCGGUGAAAUGCUUAGAGAUGACAUAGAACACCUAUUGCGAAGGCAGCUUACUACGCAUAUAUUGACGCUGAUGCACGAAAGCGUGGGGAUCAAACAGG
rnacentral:rRNA from 1 species